rnacentral:rRNA from 1 species
CAUCCCCAGUAGGGGAGCCUGUUCUAGAACCGAUACUCCCCGUUCAACCUCACCCUCUCUUGUUCUCCCCGCCUAUAUACCGCCGUCGUCAGCUUACCCUGUGAAGGCCCUAAUAGUAAGCAAAAUUGGCACAUGGCCCAAAACGUCAGGUCGAGGUGUAGCGUACGAGAGGGGAAGAAAUGGGCUACAUUUACUGGAUCAGUACAUACGGACCCUGUUCUGAAAAUAACAGAUGAAGGAGGAUUUAGCAGUAAGGAGGAAAUAGAGCGCCCUCCUGAAAACGGCCCUGAAGCGCGCACACUCCGGCCGUCACUGUCCCGGAGAAUCGACUACAAAUAAAUAAAAACCUAUUAAAAUAGAGGGGAGGCAAGUCGUAACAUGGUAGGUGUACCGGAAGGGGCACUUGGAAAAACC